rnacentral:tRNA from 1 species
GGGGAUGUGGCGCAGUCUGGUAGCGCACCUCGUUCGCAUCGAGGGGGUCAGGGGUUCGAGUCCCCUCAUCUCCAC